UCAGUGCAUUUAUAUUUCCUUCCAGGCUUUCUGCCUUGCUCUCUAAGUAUUAUUGGCCCACCAUAUCAAAGAGCAUGUGAGUACAGUGUCUGGCCCACCAUUUAGAUGUUGGCCCUUUGGAAGAAAUAUUCUUUCAUCUUUCUCUACAGCCCUGAAGAUCUGCCUUUCUUGAAGUGCUUAUCCAACUCACUUCUAUCUACAGGAUAUCUUUCUUCAAUAAUUGUAGGGACAAGGAUACCAUAAUGAAAUUCAGCAGAAAACAUAUUAUGGAGACGCAAGAGACUGUAGAUACCAUCCUCAAGUAUGACUUCAAUUCAGAUGCUGCCUGGCCUGCUGAGUUCCUCCAGCAUCACCAAGUAUGCUUUGAGAGUCGGCAUGGACUUGCUGGGCUGAAUGGCCUCCUUCUAUGUUAAAUGCUAUGUCCCAAGAUAGACAGAAGCAGGAAAGAGAGCCAAUCAGUGAAGUCAGAACAAAAGCAGAGGAAAUGGGAGCUUCAAUUCUGUUCUUCA